rnacentral:rRNA from 1 species
GAUGAACGCUGGCGGCGUGCUUAAUACAUGCAAGUCGAGCGAACAGACGAGGACCUUGCUCCUCUGACGUCAGCGGCGGACGGGUGAGUAACACGUGGAUCCCCUCCCUAUAAGACUGGGACAACUUCGGGAAACCGGUGCUAAUACUGGAUAAUAUAUUCAACCGCAUGGUUCAAUAGUGAAAGACGGUUUUGCUGUCACUUAUCGAUGGAUCCGCGCCGCAUUAGCUAGUUGGCAAGGUAACGGCUUACCAAGGCGACGAUGCGUAGCCGACCUGAGAGAGUGAUCGGCCACACUGGAGCUGAGACACGGUCCAGACUCCUACGGGAGGCAGCAGUAGGGAAUCUUCCGCAAUGGGCGAAAGCCUGACGGAGCAACGCCGCGUGAGUGAUGAAGGUCUUCGGAUCGUAAAACUCUGUUAUUAGGGAAGAACAAAUGUGUAAGUAGCUAUGCACGUCUUGACGGUACCUGAUCAGAAAGCCACGGCUAACUACGUG